rnacentral:rRNA from 1 species
GCACAAGCGGUGGAGCAUGUGGUUCAAUUCGAAGCAACGCGAAGAACCUUACCAGCCUUUGACAUCCCGGUCGCGAGCACCAGAGAUGGAGCUCUUCAGUUCGGCUGGACCGGAGACAGGUGCUGCAUGGCUGUCGUCAGCUCGUGUCGUGAGAUGUUGGGUUAAGUCCCGCAACGAGCGCAACCCUCGCCCUUAGUUGCCAUCAUUUAGUUGGGCACUCUAAGGGGACUGCCGGUGAUAAGCCGGAGGAAGGUGGGGAUGACGUCAAGUCCUCAUGGCCCUUACAGGCUGGGCUACACACGUGCUACAAUGGCGGUGACAGAGGGAUGCAAAGGAGCAAUCCUUAGCAAAUCUCAAAAAGCCGUCUCAGUUCGGAUUGUGCUCUGCAACUCGAGCACAUGAAGUUGGAAUCGCUAGUAAUCGCAGAUCAGCACGCUGCGGUGAAUACGUUCCCGGGC